GACGAACCGUGCGAACGUUGUUCGGAAUCAUUGGGCUUAAAGGGCGCGUAGGCGGGCUGUCUUGUCCGAGGUGAAAGCCCCCGGCUCAACCGGGGAACGGCCUUGGAAACGGACGGUCUGGAGUGAGGCAGGGGCAGGUGGAACUUCCGGUGAAGCGGUGAAAUGCGUUGAGAUCGGAAGGAACGCCGGCGGCGAAAGCGGCCUGCUGGACCUCAACUGACGCUGAGGCGCGAAAGCCAGGGGAGCAAACGGG
rnacentral:misc_RNA from 1 species